UACGUAGGGACCAAGCGUUGUUCGGAUUUACUGGGCGUAAAGGGCGCGUAGGCGGCAAUUCAAGCCAUCUGUGAAAUCUCCGGGCUUAACUCGGAACGGUCAGAUGAUACUGCUUUGCUAGAGUGCGGAAGGGGCAAUCGGAAUUCUUGGUGUAGCGGUGAAAUGCGUAGAUAUCAGGAGGAACACCGGUGGCGAAGGCGGGACUCUGGGCCGAUACUGACGCUGAGGAGCGAAAGCGUGGGGAGCAAACAGG
rnacentral:rRNA from 1 species